ensembl:misc_RNA Metazoa_SRP Metazoan signal recognition particle RNA
CCUGGCUAGUGGCAUAUGCCUGUAAUCCCUACUCCUGGGAAGGCUGAGGCUGGCAGAUCUUUUGAGCUUGGAAGUUCUGAACUGCAGAGGGCUGGCUAUGCUGAUUAGAUAUCCAAAAUGAGUUUAGCAUUAACAUGAUGGGCCCCCUGGGAGUGGGAGGUUACCAGGUUGCCUAAGGAGAGGCAAACCAGCCAAGGAUGGAAACAGAGCAGGUCAAAACAACUGAGCUGAUCAGGGUGGGACUCAGCCUGUGAAUGGUCCCUGUACUUCCAGCCUUUAAAAAAAAAAAGGAAAGAA